UGGUCAGAUGACUACUCAACUGUUAUUGGUCAACUGGGUUCGGCGUGUGUUUGAAAGGUUACGCCCCUGACUACGCGUGGGUUUUCCGGUUCUGACUGAGAGUCACAGGCAACGUAAACAAGCGUUAUAUUUCUCUAUAAACGAUGGUGUCUGUACUGCCUUACCACUUCGAGCUCGAUCCAGAGAGUUCAGAAGGCCGUUACGAUAUAAACGAUCUCCGUCAAUGAACGCGAUUGGAUUUAACUUUUUUAGGUGUCCUUAGCUCUGCCAGAAUGCUAAACGAAGACGAAAAUGUGUUGCAAAGACAUCCAAAAGGUUUUAAGGAGAAUGCAACAGGUUCCAGGGCCUCUUACCUGCGUGAUUCAUCAUCCAGGUUUUGCACAAAUUGUCUAAAUCCCUACACACAGAACAUUUAUUGUACCGACUAUAAGCCUUUGAAGUGCAGGACUAGAAUAUGCUUGGAGCUUCCUGAUCAGAUCGGUCACAAUGUUUGCUUUCGACGACCCCUGCACUGAAGAUGGCAUGCAAUCACGUCCUCCUUUGAAGGUCUCUCAAACUGUGAUGCCAGGUCCAUUGGAAUCGGGGUUUCCUUCAGCUUAUCUUCAAAUACCUCAUCAAACACAAGCCUGAUCACAUCAUCCACAUAACUGUACAAAUAUUGCAGUCAAUAAAUCUUUUGUUUUGAUCAUUUA